rnacentral:rRNA from 1 species
GAUGAACGCUGGCGGCAUGCCUAAUACAUGCAAGUCGGACGGGAAGUGGUGUUUCUUGCGGCUGACGGGUUAGCAACGCGCAAGAACGUGCCCCGGGGAGGGGCACACUAGCAGGAAACGACAGCUAAUACAACGCAGGCCGAGGAGCAAAAGGAGUAAUGCGCCCGAGGAGUGGCUAGUGAAAGAUUUUCUAGCUGGUGAGGGAAUAUCUAACCAAGGCGCUGGUCAGAAGCUGUUCCGAGAGGAUGAACAGCCACACCGGGACUGAGACACGACCCAGGGACCCACGAGAGACGGGAGUGGGGAAUUUUCCGCAAUGGGCGGGAGGCUGACGGAGCAAUGCCGCGUGGAAGUAGAAGGACCACGGGACGUGAACUGCUUUUCCCAGAGAAGAAGCAAUGACGGUAUCUGGGGAAUAAGCAUCGGCUAACUCUGUG